rnacentral:rRNA from 1 species
ACCUGCCCUAUGUUUAAUGUUAAUGGCCGCGGUAUUUUGACCGUGCGAAGGUAGCAUAAUAAAUAGUCUAUUAAAUGAGUUCUGGUCUGUAAUGGUAGUGACCGGACAGCAGCUGUUGGAAUAAGAUUCUUGAAUGGUGAAUCUGAGCGAAUAUGCUGACAGUACUUCUGGGGACAUCUAACCCCAACUGAGUUUUAACCUAUACUAAAAUUGUGGUGGUAUUAGAAUUUUAAAUUUAUAUUUUGUUGGGGCGACAAUAAAUUGGGAAUCAUUUUAUUUAUUAGGCUAUUUUAAUAGAGUGUUAGAUCCAUUAAUAGUGAUUAUUAGACUUAGUUACCUUAGGGGAAACAGCGUAAUUUUUAUUUUAGAGUUCUUAUCGAUAAUAAAGUUUGCGACCUCGAUGUUGGAUUAAGAUUCUUUUAGGGGUGUAGCUGUUCUAAUAAGUAGUCUGUUCGACUAUUUAAAUCUUACAUGAUCUGAUCAAAAACCCGAGGAAGGGCGUUUG